rnacentral:rRNA from 1 species
UACGGAGGGGACUAGCGUUGUUCGGAAUUACUGGGCGUAAAGCGCACGUAGGCGGAUUUGUAAGUCAGGGGUGAAAUCCCGGGGCUCAACCCCGGAACUGCCUUUGAUACUGCAAAUCUCGAGUCCGGAAGAGGUGAGUGGAAUUCCUAGUGUAGAGGUGAAAUUCGUAGAUAUUAGGAAGAACACCAGUGGCGAAGGCGGCUCACUGGCCCGGUACUGACGCUGAGGCGCGAAAGCGUGGGGAGCAAACAGG